rnacentral:rRNA from 1 species
AUUGAACGCUGGCGGCAGGCCUAACACAUGCAAGUCGAGCGGAUGAAGGGAGCUUGCUCCUGGAUUCAGCGGCGGACGGGUGAGUAAUGCCUAGGAAUCUGCCUGGUAGUGGGGGAUAACGUCCGGAAACGGGCGCUAAUACCGCAUACGUCCUGAGGGAGAAAGUGGGGGAUCUUCGGACCUCACGCUAUCAGAUGAGCCUAGGUCGGAUUAGCUAGUUGGUGGGGUAAAGGCCUACCAAGGCGACGAUCCGUAACUGGUCUGAGAGGAUGAUCAGUCACACUGGAACUGAGACACGGUCCAGACUCCUACGGGAGGCAGCAGUGGGGAAUAUUGGACAAUGGGCGAAAGCCUGAUCCAGCCAUGCCGCGUGUGUGAAGAGGGUCUUCGGAUUGUAAAGCACUUUAAGUUGGGAGGAAGGGCAGUAAGUUAAUACCUUGCUGUUUUGACGUUACCAACAGAUUAAGCACCGGCUAACUUCGUG